UUUGUCUGACUGAAAGAACUUUUGUCUGACCGAAUUUUUUUUCCAAAUAUAUGUAUAUGGUAAUACCUUUGUGUUUUUUAGCUCAUCUGUCACAAAGUGACAGGGUGAGCUUUUGUGAUCGCUUUUCGUCCGGCGUCCGUCCAUCCGUCGUCCGUCCGUAAACUUUUACUUUAAAUGACAUCUCCUCAUAAACCACUAAGCCAAUUUCAUCCAAACUUCACAGGAAUGUUCCUUUGGUGGUCACCUUUAAAAAUUGUUCAAAGAAUUUAAUUCAAUGCAGAACUCUGGUUGCCAUGGCAACCGAAAGAAAAAACUUUAAAUAUCUUCUUUUAAAAAACCAUAAGAGCUAGAGCUUAGAUAUUUUGCAUGAAACAUCUUCUAGUGAGUGUCUACCAAGUUUGUUCAAAUAAAAGCCCUGGGGUCAAAAUUGGCCCGCCCCGGGGGGUCAUUGAUUUUCCCUAUAUGCAUAUAGUAAAAACUUAAAAAAUCUUCUUUUAAAGAACUCAAAGAGCUAUGGCUAAGAUAUUGAGCAUCAAACAUGUUCUAAUAGGUGUCUACCAAGUUUGUUCAAAUAAAAGCCCUGGGGUCAAAAUUGGCCCCGCCCCAGGGGGUCAUUGAUUUUCCCUAUAUGCAUAUAGUAAAAACUUAAAAAAUCUUCUUUUAAAGAACCAAAAGAGUAGAGCUAAGAUAUUUAGCAUGAAACAUGUUCUAAUAAGUGUCUACCAAGUUUGUUCAAAUAAAAGCCCUGGGGUCAAAAUUGGCCCCGCCCCGGGGGGGUCAUUGAUUUUCCCUAUAUGCAUAUAGUAAAAACAUAAAAAAUCUUUUUUUAAAGAACCAAAAGAGUUAGAGCUAAGAUAUUUAGCAUGAAACAUGUUCUAAUAGGUGUCUACCAAGUUUGUUCAAAUAAAAGCCCUGGGGUCAAAAUUGGCCCCGCCUCGGGGGUUCAUUGAUUUUCCCUAUAUGCAUAUAGUAAAAACUUAAAAAAUCUUCUUUUAAAGAACUCAAAGAGCUAUGGGAAAGAUAUUUAGCAUCAAACAUGUUCUAAUAGGUGUCUACCAAGUUUGUUCAAAUAAAAGCCCUGGGGUCAAAAUUGGCCCCGCCCCGGGGGUCAUUGAUAUUCCUUAUAUGUGUAUAGCAAAAACUUAAAAAAUCUUCUUUGAAAAAACCCAAAUAGCUAAAGUUAAGAUAUUAAGCAUGAAACAUCUUUUAGUGAGUGUCUACAAAGUUUGUUCAAAUAAAAGACCUGGGGUCAAAAUUGGCCUUGCCCGGGGGGUCAUUGAUUUUCUUUAUAUGUGAAUAGCAAAAACUUAAAAUCUUCUUUGAAAAAACCCAAAUAGCUAGAGUUUAGAUAUUAAGCUUGAAACAUCUUCUAGUAAGUGUCUACAAAGUUUGUUCAAAUAAAAGCCCUGGCCCGGCCCCAGGGGUGUCAUUGUUUUUAACUAUAUGUGUAUAGUAAAAACUUAAAAAAAAUCUUCUUUUAAAAAGCCCAAUGAGCUAGAGCUUAGAUGUUUAGCAUGAAACAUCUUCUUAUGGGUGUCUACCAAGUUUGUGCAAAUAAAAGCACUUGGGUUAAAUUGGCCCUGCAACGUUGGGGGGUGGGGGUUGGGGGACCUAUAUACAGGUGAGCGACCUCAGGGCCAUCAUGGCCCUCUUGUUUAAA